rnacentral:rRNA from 1 species
GGGCCCGCACAAGCGGUGGAGUAUGUGGUUUAAUUCGAUGAUACGCGAGGAACCUUACCAGGGCUUAAAUGUAGUAUGACCGGUCUAGAAAUAGACCUUCUCUUCGGAGCAGAUUACAAGGUGCUGCAUGGUUGUCGUCAGCUCGUGCCGUGAGGUGUCAGGUUAAGUCCUAUAACGAGCGCAACCCCCUGCCGUUAGUUGCCAGCAUGUAAUGAUGGGAACUCUAACGGGACUGCCGGUGCAAACCGCGAGGAAGGUGGGGAUGACGUCAAAUCAUCACGGCCCUUACGUCCUGGGCUACACACGUGCUACAAUGGCCGGUACAGAGGGCAGCCACACGCAAGGUGGAGCGAAUCCUUAAAACCGGUCUC